rnacentral:rRNA from 1 species
CGCCCUUAGAGUUUGAUCCUGGCUCAAGAUGAACGCUGGCGGCGUGCCUAACACAUGCAAGUCGAGCGAAGCGCUUUACUUGAAUUCUUCGGAAGGAAAGUAUUGUGACUGAGCGGCGGACGGGUGAGUAACGCGUGGGUAACCUGCCUCAUACAGGGGGAUAACAGUUAGAAAUGACUGCUAAUACCGCAUAAGACCACAGCACCGCAUGGUGCGGGGGUAAAAACUCCGGUGGUAUGAGAUGGACCCGCGUCUGAUUAGCUAGUUGGUAAGGUAAGGGCUUACCAAGGCGACGAUCAGUAGCCGACCUGAGAGGGUGACCGGCCACAUUGGGACUGAGACACGGCCCAAACUCCUACGGGAGGCAGCAGUGGGGAAUAUUGCACAAUGGGGGAAACCCUGAUGCAGCGACGCCGCGUGAGUGAUGAAGUAUUUCGGUAUGUAAAGCUCUAUCAGCAGGGAAGAAAAUGACGGUACCUGACUAAGAAGCACCGGCUAAAUACGUGCCAGCAGCCGCGGUAAUACGUAUGGUGCAAGCGUUAUCCGGAUUUACUGGGUGUAAAGGGAGCGUAGACGGAGAGGCAAGUCUGAUGUGAAAACCCGGGGCUCAACCCCGGGACUGCAUUGGAAACUGUUUUUCUAGAGUGUCGGAGAGGCAAGUGGAAUUCCUAGUGUAGCGGUGAAAUGCGUAGAUAUUAGAAGGAACACCAGUGGCGAAGGCGGCUUGCUGGACGAUGACUGACGUUGAGGCUCGAAAGCGUGGGGAGCAAACAAGAUUAGAUACCCUGGUAGUCCACGCCGUAAA